rnacentral:sRNA from 12 species
ACCCGGCGCUGCUACGGCGUCGUCGGGCGACCGUCAGUUUUGUGGUCAGCCCCGCCCGGCCGGCUUCGGCAAAUACGUUACGAGGUUCGGAGAGCGGCGAGUACGGCGGCAACGCCCGAAAGCCGCGCCGAC